AGUCUUCCACUAGCAGCCUUUGGAUGAAGACAUAGAACUCUCAGCUCCUCCUGUGCCAUGCCUGCUUGGAUACUGCCAUGCUCCCACCUUGAUAAUGGACUGAACUUCUGAACCUAGAUCUCUGAGCCAAUUACGAAGGCUAAUCCAGAACUGGCAAGGGGGAUUUCUAUGGUUCAACUCUCCCCACUGAAACUCUUGUCUAAAUCUAUUCGUCAUUGUGAAUGUUCCACACAGGAACAGGCUAGGUUCUGAGAAGAGGCGCCCGAGGCAAUCUCACCACUGUGUGAACAUUCAGAGGCAUACGCAAAGGGAAAUGACACAGCAAAAACACAGGACAACAAAAGCAAAAAAUGACCAAGACUAAAGCAACCUCAAAGGCUACCACACGGCAAGGAAAUAUUCCAUAAAAUGAAAAGAGACCUAAGAAGAGAUGGAAAAUACUUGUGAGCCAUAUAGCUGAAAAAGGCUUAGCACCUGAAAUCCACAAGAAACACAACCAAAUAUUAACAAAUUAAGUCCAAUAUAACUCAAUUUAUUAAUUGACUAAGACACUGAAUGUAUUUUUCCUAAAGACCUGCAGUCAGCCAAGAGAUUUACUGGGGGAUCUUUAGCAUCAUUAACCACCAGAGAAAUACAAACCAAAGCC
rnacentral:lncRNA from 1 species